GUGUACAACCACCGCUGCUACCGGGCAUUGCUGAGCUGCUGGUCCUCUUGGGUUUUGAUGAAUGACACCACCACACCACCACCACCACCGCCGACCGACUGCGAUGAUGAUGACACCGGAACAGACAGGCCACCAAAGGAUCUCUACCAUAAGGAUCUAUUGUUGUAGCGCACAAGUCAUCGAAAUCUAAUGGGUUAAAUCAAAUCGACAAAAUCCAAUGACGAGGAAACAAAAAAAAGAAAGGCGCAUAUUCACAUGAUCGUUUAAAUCCAGGAUUAAACCCCAAUUUGGAAACAUAAUAUUACAACUGCAAACGACGACAAUAAUACUAUCAACUUCGCUCUGCAUCGAAGCUAAAAAAAUACAUUAUGUACACGAGUGUACCGUUAAUGAUGUAAAACAAGCAACUCAUUAUUGCACAUGCACGUCAAAAACAUUCUGGGAGCGCCGACAAAAUUAAA